rnacentral:rRNA from 1 species
CGCGUAGGCGGACAGUUUAGUCAGAGGUGAAAGCCCAGGGCUCAACCUUGGAAUUGCCUUUGAUACUGGCUGUCUUGAGUACGGGAGAGGUGAGUGGAACUCCGAGUGUAGAGGUGAAAUUCGUAGAUAUUCGGAAGAACACCAGUGGCGAAGGCGACUCACUGGCCCGUUACUGACGCUGAGGCGCGAAAGCGUGGGGAGCAAACAGGAUUAGAUACCCUGGUAGUCCACGCUGUAAACGAUGAGUGCUAGUUGUCGGCAUGCAUGCAUGUCGGUGACGCAGCUAACGCAUUAAGCACUCCGCCUGGGGAGUACGGUCGCAAGAUUAAA